AAGAUACUACCUCUGUCCCAAAAUUCUUGUCUUAGAUUUGUCUACAUAUGGAAGUAUCUAACACUAAAACAUGACUAGAUACUUCCAUAUUUAAACAAAUCUAAGACAAGAAUUUUGGGUCGGAGGGAGUAUAAG
rfam:Triticum aestivum genome assembly, contig: Triticum_aestivum_CS42_TGACv1_scaffold_080416_1DS